CCAAACUAACACGCAUUUUAAAAAAUGCAGGCAAAGAUAUGUGCCUCUCAGUGAGCUUUGGCGCCAUGCGAACAGUGUGGAGCUUGUCGAGCGCAUAAAAGUUAUGAAGAUAUUAUUAGUUAUCAAGAUAUGAUGCCAAAGAACAUCUUUGCCUUGGAUCUAAGGAUGUAAAUAAAUAUGACCUGACCAUACUUAAAGAAGUUGUUCCUGAUAGACUUCAGUAGGUGAGGGACAUCGAACACCACAGGAACCCUCUGAACCCCCACCAGAAUGCAGUGGGAAUCCUCGCCACCCAGAGCAUCCAGGGUGGCCCCAACUUCCGAAUGGCAUCCUUAAUGAUGCUGGCAAUUUCCACGGCUGGCAUGGAACUGGGGGAGAAGAAAUAACCCAUGGCCUGUUGAAGGACAAAGUUUUUGGUAAAUGUUUUUAAUAUACACAGCAAAAAAUAAAUAAAUGUUGGUCUUAAAAACAACAAAAAAUGUUGUUGUUGGCUUGCCUGUUUCCAC